rnacentral:lncRNA from 1 species
UUUUUCUAGGGGGCUACUGUUGGGUCUUCAGUGUUUUGCUUCACGUUUUUAUGCUGAUUAUGCUAUCUUGAGUGUGCAUGUUUGUUCUUUCAUUUCUUCAUGUGUAUGUGCACUGUCAAAAAAUUAUAGAAAUUUAUUCUCACAUGUUUGUAAGUGUCGUGUGGUAACCCUAUGAGUUUUUAUUCAAUACAUCUUUCAAAAAAAAAAGUGUGUGUUUUUAGUUUCAUCAUUCAAUGUACUUCGUCCUUCUAUGAACGUUACCGAUUUCACUCCAAUCAUGAUUAUAUGUAAUUAAAUAAUUUUGACCAUCAAUCAAUAUUACCUUCUUUGAGCUCUCACAGUCUCAUUUAAUAAUUUGCAUCAUAUCUAUACACACACCAACUCCUAUCCUAAUGAGAACAUUUAUAAAUGUUAGUAUAUACCAACCAACUAGAUGCUAAUAGCAAUAGACAAAAACAAAAGUUUGCAAAAAGGAAUUAAAAAGGACUUGAAAAUCAUAUUUUUAGUGGUGAAUUUACUCAAUUUAGAGAUGUCCAUGUCAUUACUUAAUUCCUUGAUUUAAGACCUUUUGCAGGUGAAGUAAUCAAUCCCAUUUACUUUGUGAAAACUGAAAAGAUUCUGCCCCCUAGGCCUUUAAGUUGGCGUACAAUGAUUAAGUGCCAAAAAGAAAUCUGACUAUUCAUGGAGCGGGUGCAUCCUUUACUCAGUGGCACCUAGCUAUAACACAUAACAUUUGUUUUUGCCUUUUAAUUCUUUCAUCAACAAUGAACGAACAGAGUGGCUGUUCCUUUGAACUCAGGCUUUCUACAACUUUGCUUGCCCCAAUGAACGGAUCGUGCUUCUCCAUUCCUUUUUCAUUAAGUUAACAAGUGGAAUCUUUGAACCAUCUUGAGUCUUGACAUUUUGCUAAGUUGAUCAGCAACUAAGCAAGCAUUUUUACAGAUAAGGUAAAGUUAAUUUAUUUAGUUAAUUGGACUUAGACAAAGGGAACGACAAUCAAUGAGAAAGUAGGGUGAAAAAACUUGUCAAUAAAGCUAAGAACCAGUGAUUAGUUCAAAUGAUACAUAUUUAAUAGUCUCAAGUUUAAGUGUUGUGUAC